GUGGCCAUGCGCUGCUAUACAUGCAAGUCGAGCGGACAGAUGGGAGCUUGCUCCCUGAUGUUAGCGGCGGACGGGUGAGUAACACGUGGGUAACCUGCCUGUAAGACUGGGAUAACUCCGGGAAACCGGGGCUAAUACCGGAUGGUUGUUUGAACCGCAUGGUUCAAACAUAAAAGGUGGCUUCGGCUACCACUUACAGAUGGACCCGCGGCGCAUUAGCUAGUUGGUGAGGUAACGGCUCACCAAGGCAACGAUGCGUAGCCGACCUGAGAGGGUGAUCGGCCACACUGGGACUGAGACACGGCCCAGACUCCUACGGGAGGCAGCAGUAGGGAAUCUUCCGCAAUGGACGAAAGUCUGACGGAGCAACGCCGCGUGAGUGAUGAAGGUUUUCGGAUCGUAAAGCUCUGUUGUUAGGGAAGAACAAGUACCGUUCGAAUAGGGCGGUACCUUGACGGUACCUAACCAGAAAGCCACGGCUAACUACGUGCCAGCAGCCGCGGUAAUACGUAGGUGGCAAGCGUUGUCCGGAAUUAUUGGGCGUAAAGGGCUCGCAGGCGGUUUCUUAAGUCUGAUGUGAAAGCCCCCGGCUCAACCGGGGAGGGUCAUUGGAAACUGGGGAACUUGAGUGCAGAAGAGGAGAGUGGAAUUCCACGUGUAGCGGUGAAAUGCGUAGAGAUGUGGAGGAACACCAGUGGCGAAGGCGACUCUCUGGUCUGUAACUGACGCUGAGGAGCGAAAGCGUGGGGAGCGAACAGGAUUAGAUACCCUGGUAGUCCACGCCGUAAACGAUGAGUGCU
rnacentral:rRNA from 1 species